rnacentral:rRNA from 1 species
AUUGAACGCUGGCGGCAGGCUUAACACAUGCAAGUCGAGCGGGGUGAUGGUGCUUGCACUAUCACUUAGCGGCGGACGGGUGAGUAAUGCUUAGGAAUCUGCCUAUUAGUUGGGGACAACAUCCUGAAAGGGAUGCUAAUACCGCAUACGUCCUACGGUAGAAAGCAGGGGAUCACUUGUGACCUUGCGCUACUAGAUGAGCCUAAGUCGGAGUAGCUAGUUGGUGGGGUAAAGGCCUAGCAAGGCGACGAUCUGUAGCGGGUCUGAGAGGAUGAUCCGCCACACUGGGACUGAGACACGGCCCAGACUCCUACGGGAGGCAGCAGUGGGGAAUAUUGGACAAUGGGGGGAACCCUGAUCCAGCCAUGCCGCGUGUGUGAAGAAGGCCUUAUGGUUGUAAAGCACUUUAAGCGAGGAGGAGGCUCUUUUGGUUAAUACCCAAGAUGAGUGGACGUUACUCGCAGAAUAAGCACCGGCUAACUCUGUGCCAGCAGCCGCGGUAA